rnacentral:ncRNA from 1 species
GUCUAGAUUUUGGUUCCUUCAAGAGGGAUUAAAAGGGAAUCAGGUGGAAAUCCUGAACAGUCCCGCUGCUGUGAGUUUCACUCAACGAUUCAAGUAUCAUAUAGCCACUGUUUUCAAUGGGAAGGCACUUGAUCGGGAACAAGUCAGAAGACCUGCCAAGAUCA